AUGGAAAAUGUGGUUGGAAGCCUUCGAAAGGGGGUAAGCACUCGUAGACAAUUGGCAAACUAUUGUGAACAUCACGCGUUUGUCUCUUGUGUCGAACCCCAAAAGGUCUAUGAGGCGCUCGAAGACUCGGAUUGGCUCAAUGCCAUGCAUGAAGAACUCAACAACUUCGAGUACAACAAGGUGUGGAGAUUGGUGCCAAGACCAUCCGGGAACCACAACGUCAUUGGAACCAAGUGGAUCUUCAAGAACAAGCAAGAUGCUCAUGGGAACAUCAUUCGCAACAAGGCAAGAUUGGUAGCACAAGGCUACUCCCAAGUCGAGGGUAUCGACUACGGUGAAACCUUUGCUCCCGUUGCUCGUCUUGAAUCCAUUCGUUUGUUGAUUGCUUAUGCUUCCCAUCACAACUUUAAGUUGCAACAAAUGGAUGUGAAAAGUGCUUUUCUUAAUGGUCCUAUUAAUGAGUUGGUCUAUGUCAAGCAACCCCCCGGGUUCGAGGAUCCCUACUUUCCGGAUCAUGUGUAUCAACUUGAUAAGGCACUCUAUGGCCUUAAACAAGCCCCACGUGCGUGGUAUGACCACCUUACCGAGUUGUUACAAGAUCGUGGAUUUGAAGUAGGGCUAAUCGACCCCACUCUUUUUACUAAGAAGGUCAACGGGGAGUUGUUUGUAUGCCAACUAUAUGUUGAUGAUAUUAUCUUUGGUUCCCCUAACAAAGCUUUCAAUGAAGAAUUUGCCGCUCUCAUGACCUCCAAGUUUAAGAUGUCUUCUAUGGGAGAGUUGAAGUUCUUCCUUGGUUUCGACAUCAAGCAAAGAAGAUAA
rnacentral:rRNA from 1 species